rnacentral:rRNA from 1 species
CAGCCGCCACGGUAACACGAACCGUGCGAACGUUAUUCGGAAUUACUGGGCUUAAAGCGCGUGUAGGCGGGCCGCCACGUCGAUUGCUGAAAUCCCCCGGCUCAACCGGGGAAGUGGCAUCGAUACGAGCGGCCUUGAGGGGGGUAGGGGGAUCUGGAACUUCCGGUGGAGCGGUGAAAUGCGUUGAGAUCGGAAGGAACGCCCGUGGCGAAAGCGAGGUCCUGGACCCUUUCUGACGCUGAGACGCGAAAGCCAGGGGAGCGAACGGGAUUAGAUACCCCCGUAGUCCCUGUCUCUUAUA